GGUAACCCCACUUACAUGGGGUCAUCACAGAAGACCCAGCCCCAGCUGAGCCAGCCCAGAGAAGGAACGCCACAAUGAACCCACAAGAAGUGCAAAAAUUAAUGAAAUUGUUAUUGCAAGCCACUUAUUUUCAGGAUUGCGUGUUCUACAGCAAAAGCUAACCACUCCAACGUCCCGUUUCACUGAGCGAAGUCUGCAUUUUCCAGUGGUGGCCUGAGUUCUCUCAUGAGCUGGUCCUCGGGCACCUCUCUCCUCCCCGAUGGGCACCUCCCCUGCUCUGCUAGGAGCCGCGCUGGCUUCCUGUGUCCCUCCAGCAGGCCACCUGGGCCUUCUCCAGGUCUCUGUACACCUGUUAUCCCGGCUGAAAGCUUUCCUCCCGGAGGUCUGGAUGGCCUCCUCCAUCGCUGCUUCCUGAUCUCUGUUCAAGUGUGACCUGUGUCCAAAGAGGUGACAUUCCCAGCCACUCCACUUGCGCUGUCACCACAGUCAGCCUCCCCUGCCCUUAUUGUCAUAUGAAGACAAUACUCUUGGUCAUAUGACGAGUUUCUUCACUGCCCUUCUCCACCCUAUAUCAGAGACCCCAUGGCAUUUGUCUUCUUCAUAGUGUGGCCACGUGCCUUGAACUGCUCCUGGCACAUAGUAGGUUUCAUAAGUAACCUCCAGGGGAAGGAUCCUUCUUGCCCACCAACGUUUCUGUUCAUGAAAGUAAUUUCCACCAUUGUGACAACUGCGAGCUGCACACCUCGCCAAACUAGCCUCAGUGCCCCGUCUAAUUUCUAAGGUGACCGCGUCCUGCCAGGCGAUGCCCACUUCCUGUCUUACACCCGAAGACACUGAGGCCAAGAGGUUUCAGAGUUACCGCUGUCCACAUGGUGCACACGUCAGUAGAGCCGUGAUUCCUACCGUGGUGGUUCGAUGUCAAGGCCAGGCAGCUUCUCUGCACCAAAGCCACCAGUCCAACACAGGCCUCAAGUGUCCCUCUGGUAGGAUGCACCACCUAGAUGUCUCAGGCUGGGCAGAGAGGUGACUUUGCCGGUCUGACUCUAACUCGACCUGUCACCUUCGGCACCGGGGCAGAAGUCAGGACAAAGACGAUGCUGGAGCAGCAUCAGCAUCGGGGGUGUCCAGGAUGCCAAGGAGAAGCAAAGGGAGAGUGCUGGCCUCCUCCUCCUGUCACUGACUCCUGUGCGGACCUGCUUCAGGCUGAUGAGACGAGGCUGGGGGGACGGACCAGGGGAGAUGAGGAGCCCCACCUCAACAGUCCCCAAUUUCGUGUAGGCCAGGCCCUCACACAUUCCUUCACAUUUCCAUUCCACAAACGUGCCGAGGGCUACAUUCUGGAAAUUCAGUUCUGGGUAAAGCCCCGGAGUCCCUGCCGUAAAGACCUUAUAUCUUCCGUCUGCAGGAGUCCUCCCAAGACGCAAGGCCCUGGUCAUGUCUACAGAGCUCUCUAGGUACUUGAAGAUGAACGGAGGCCCUGGACAAUGGCCAGGCUUCCUCUCGUCCACUUCUUCCUGAGAUCAGUGUGACCAUUGCUGUGGGGCCAUUUCCCUCUGCUGGACAUAUCACUGUCAUUUCUUUGGCUAAUUCUGUCAGUGAUUUCUGGACACAUGAGCAAAUGUGCACGACAAUUUCUGUUUGAGCUCAUUCCAAGGCCAAGUCUGUCUUUCACCAUAUCAAAUGUACCUAGAUAUGUGAAUACAUAUAAAUUACUACUUAUUAUAAUAACAAUCCUACUCUGUCAUCACCAGUGCUACUAAUUGCCAGUAGUGUUUAUUGAGAAUCUACUCCGUGCCAGUUGAGAGUGUAGGCAAAUCACACUUACCUUUUCCCUGUGUGCUCAGAGGAUGAAACUGAGGGUCAGGGAGUCAGAGCGGCCUCCCCUCUGCCCCACAGCAGUGAAUAGUGGAGCCAGGAUUUGAGGCCAGCUCUGCCUGCCUCAAGCUGGUGUGCUUUCUGCUACCCUACGGGUGGCCCGGAGACAGCAGAAUGCACAUCAGGAGUGAAUUAUUCACAACGGAAGGCUGGUUGACUUCUUGCCUGAGGAGGGGACUCUGGCUGGUGCUCCUUCUGGUGGGUCGUGCCUGCUAUAAACGUGACAAACCACCUUGCACAUGCCAUUUAUCCGACGAUAUUGGCUCCAGCCCCCCGACCCCAGUGUUCCCCAGCAGACCCUCACACCUGGAUGGAUUGCCUAUGUCUGCCUCUGGCCUCUUUUCCUUCUAGUGGACACAGGUUCUGAGCUCUCCCAAUGCCACGGAAUCCACCAAACAGCACGAAGAGGCUGGGUCCUCCGUGGUCCUUCUCUUCUGAGUUCCCCUCUCUUCCUACGUUUCAUUAAACCCUAGAGGCAGCCGGUCUCCACUUUCACAUCUAAAUAAGAGGGACUUGCUGCAGUUUAUCAAUAGGAAACAAGAAAUGGAAGCGUCCCCUGGCAGAGGCUGUACCCUGUGGCUUGUGGCUUUUGCUCUUUAAAAUGAGGCGAUGGUUCAUUUUGUUUUGAACUUCAAUGAAGGAGGCCUGAUUCCUUUCAUCAAGGUCAAUGCUAAGCGAGAAAGCUUGGCUUGCACAAUUGCUGCCCAUUCUGGUCACCAGCGGUUACCCUUUUUUUAGAAGUUUACAUUAAAAAUAUCUCAAAUAGCAAUACCUACCCUGGGUAUCAACCUUGUGCCUUUCAACAUAGCCAAGCCGGUUUGGUUGAAGUCACUUUAGAAUGCUAAAUGACAUCAUGAAAUGUGAUCCACAGAAUCAUUGAAAAAAAAAAAAACACUCUGAAUUCUUGUGCCUAUUGAUGAAAUGAGGUAGCAACAAUAAACGUAAUUUUUAGAAAGAAAAAGAAAGACUCAUGUACUGCUGUACAUACAAUUUUGCAUUUAAAUGCUGCUUUUCAAGCCUUCAUGGUGUUUUUUUUUGGGGUCCUUCCCAUUGUUUCUCAAAACUUUCAAUUAUUUGAACAGAUGCCUAGUAUAUCGUGUUGGUGAUGUGCCACCAUUUGGAAACCCAGCCCUUGCCCACGACAUUUGGGUUAUUUCUAGGUUCUCUUGGUAGAACUAACAGUUUGCUUAGCAACUUUCUGCAGAUGAUUUUAGUCCCGUUAAUUUACCUCCUCGGCAACAUUGCAGAGGCUGGGAGCUCCCAACUGUUGGGAAGGGCCCCUCCUACCACUUCUGUUCCGUUUGUUUGUAACCUUGUCAACAUGGGGUGUUGACAUUUAUAUUUUUAAGCAUUUUAGCCCUGUACUGUCACAACCUCUAUCUAUUUACAUGUAAUACUCCCAAGCGGCCAGCCAACUUAUUUAAACCAUAAGCAUUUUGUCUUUUAUAUUCCCCCAGGACGAGUUCACAAUUUUAAUUAGUCUGGAAAUUCCGAGUGAGUUUACAGAGAGGGGGUUUUGGUAGGAAAACGCAGUCCACGGUGCUUCAACUUUGCUGGGCUACUUUUUCCAGCCACCAGCUGCAUCUCUACAUCAACUCAGCCGAAUGCAGCACAGGACGCAGACUCUCACCUGGGAGUCUCUGGUUCCUGCUGGCUCACGGACUGACCCCUGGUUGGGGCUCUCACCAGGCCCCUUCUUGGCCGCUGAUGUACCUGUGCCUUCAUGAAAAUGUGCCACGCCAAUCAGGAGAUUGUCUUGCUGCCAACUGAUCUGCUUGCAGGGCCGUCCCCGCUGCACCCUAGCUGUGAGGGAUAAAAGCUGUUUCCAAUUUUCAAAAUGGGAGGAAGCACCCAGCGCCUCUCUGCGUCACACAUUCACACGAGGCGGGGGCCCGUCUUCCUCUGGCCUUCCUGGUUUUAUCAGAGGCUCGAUUGGAGCUUGUCUCUCGACUUUGGAAUUGUGACAGUGUCUCUUGUUGGAUGCCAGACAUUGCAGAGGCUAAAAGUCCACUUCUGUAAAGUUCCAUUUCCUGAGUGUUUACCCAUAUUUUGUGCUUUCCUGCAGUGCUGCUGUCUUUAUGUAGUAGAGUCUCAUGACUUUGGAAGUCAACAUAAGUGUCCCCUUUUCACCACAGAGGAGGCCAUUCAAGCCUGAGACCACGGAUGCCCAGGAUUGUUACGUAAUUGUCUCUCUGCAAGUCCAUUCUGCAUCCCUGUGUGCCCUCCCUCCCUGCGCUCCCGGCCUUCCCUGCUUUACUUUCUAUUUCCAGACUUGUUUAGGCUUCUCCAAGGAUUCCGAAUUUACCUGACAGUGGCUUUCUCUUGUAAGUCCUUUAAACAUGAUUUGUGAGAUUGGUUCAUGAAAAAAAAAAAAAAAAAGGUUCCAACAUUGCAUUGAGACAGAGUUGAUCUUAGAAAUGUUUGCUAAACGAUUUUCUUUUAAAUAAGAUGGAUUGCUGUUUUUAUUACGAAGUUCAAAUGCAUGCUUAGCGUUUCAGCUUGGGGAAAGGAAAUAUCAGACAAGCAUUCAUGACCAAGUUCUACCAAUCAAAGCAAGUUGCAUAAACAUUCUGGAGUAUUUUUUCCUAUUUCUAAAAUGUAUUUUAAAAUUUAUUUGUGUCUUUUUGUUUUAGUUUUAUGCAGUUGAGCUUAUACUUUGGGCAUAAUUCUAUGUAUUUCAAUCUACAUAACAUCUUUUAAAAUCUUCUCAUGCUUUUUAAAUCAUGUAUUUGAUAAACAGAUAUACUGUAGUGACUUAUGCAUUUUAUUGUUAUUAGAGAGUUAAGGUUUUUCCCUGACCACAAUUCAUUAAUAGAAAUGAUGAUUUGGUAAGUAAUGUUGGUUUUAAAUUUUGAGAGAUGGUUUGGUUAUUUCCUUAAUAUUCCAAGGAGAAUGCUGAGCUCCAAGAAUCUGGAGAGUUCUGUGUCUCUGGGUAGUUACUGGCUGUCCAUAUGCCUGACUUCCAUCCACACCGUGGGUUUUCUUUGGGGAAAGCAGGUGUGUGUCCCCUAGGUGGAUUUCCUGUGAAUCAGUAUAUUUCCCAGGUGAUAUGCCUAUCUGGCACUCAGCAGUGCUAAUCUUACCAGGGACACGGUUAAAGUUCCGGGGCCUAGAAGGCCCCUGCCAGUCUGGAACCGAGACAGAAGGGGACAGGAGCCCGUGUCAGCGAAAUGAAAAAGAACAGGGAGAGACCAGCUAAACUUUGGGUCAGCUGGUUGCGCCAGCCUUUUGGUGUUAAUUGUUCUGCAGCUGAAGAUGCUCCUCAGAAGGCUCCCGGACUGGCUUGCUGUGCUGGGGGGAGAGCUCAGAAUUCUCGGCCUGGGUUGCUGAGGUGGGGCCUUCAGAGCUGGUUCUGGGGAAUCUUGUCUGGUGUGGCCCGGAUUUGAAGGACUCUGUGAUGUAGUGGUUGGCUUUUUUGCUUCUAUCCCUUCAAACCUGCUCAUGGGGACACUGAGAGACCUUUGAAUGAUUUAGGAACAGUUUAGUAUGUUGUCCUGUUUCUUAAAUGGGAAUCUAGACAAUAACUGUUGUUUAAAGUAGAAGUCUCAAU
rnacentral:lncRNA from 1 species